GACGGAGGGGGCUAGCGUUGUUCGGAAUUACUGGGCGUAAAGAGUGCGUAGGCGGUUUAGUAAGUUGGAAGUGAAAGCCCGAGGCUUAACCUCGGAACUGCUUUCAAAACUACUAAUCUAGAGUGUAGUAGGGGAUGAUGGAAUUCCUAGUGUAGAGGUGAAAUUCUUAGAUAUUAGGAGGAACACCGGUGGCGAAGGCGGUCAUCUAGACUACAACUGACGCUGAUGCACGAAAGCGUGGGGAGCAAACAGG
rnacentral:rRNA from 1 species